AUACUUACCUGGCAGGGGAGAUACCAUAAUCAGGAAGGUGGUUUUCCCAGGGCGAGGCUUAUCCAUUGCACUCCGGAUGUGCCGACCCCUGCGAUUUCCCCAAAUGUGGGAAACUCGACUGCAUAAUUUGUGGUAGUGGGGGACUGCGUUCGCGCUCUCCCCUA
ensembl:snRNA U1 U1 spliceosomal RNA